UGGGGAAUCUUGGACAAUGGGCGCAAGCCUGAUCCAGCCAUGCCGCGUGGAUGAUGAAGGCCUUAGGGUUGUAAAGCUCUUUUCGGACGGAACGAAAUGGUUACGGAUAAUACCUGUGACUGAUGACGGUACUGUAAGAAGAAGCACCGGCUAACUACGUGCCAGCAGCCGCGGUAAUACGUAGGGUGCGAGCGUUAAUCGGAAUUACUGGGCGUAAAGCGUGCGCAGGCGGUUCGCCAAGUCAGGUGUGAAAUCCCCGGGCUUAACCUGGGAAUUGCGCUUGAAACUAGCGGGCUUGAGUGUGGCAGAGGGGGGUGGAAUUCCACGUGUAGCAGUGAAAUGCGUAGAGAUGUGGAGGAACACCGAUGGCGAAGGCAGCCCCCUGGGUCAACACUGACGCUCAUGCACGAAAGCGUGGGGAGCAAACAGGAUUAGAUACCCCCGUAGUCCCUGAGCGGGCUGGCAAGGCGCAU
rnacentral:rRNA from 1 species